UCCUCGGUAGCUCAAUCGGAAGAGCGUGGGACUUUUAAUCCUAAGGUCGAGGGUUCGAGCCCCUCCCGAGGAG